UACAGAGGUCUCAAGCGUUGUUCGGAUUCAUUGGGCGUAAAGGGUGUGUAGGUGGCGCCGUAAGUCGGGUGUGAAAUUUCGGAGCUUAACUCCGAAACUGCAUUCGAUACUGCGGUGCUUGAGGACUGGAGAGGAGACUGGAAUUCAUGGUGUAGCAGUGAAAUGCGUAGAGAUCAUGAGGAAGACCAGUGGCGAAGGCGGGUCUCUGGACAGUUCCUGACACUGAGACACGAAGGCCAGGGGAGCAACCGGG
rnacentral:rRNA from 1 species